rnacentral:rRNA from 1 species
CGCGUAGGCGGUUUGUACAGUUAGGUGUGAAAUUCCCGGGCUCAACCUGGGGGCUGCACUUGAUACGUAUGGACUUGAGUGAGGAAGAGGGUCGUGGAAUUCCCAGUGUAGAGGUGAAAUUCGUAGAUAUUGGGAAGAACACCGGUGGCGAAGGCGGCGACCUGGUCCUUGACUGACGCUGAGGCGCGAAAGCGUGGGGAGCAAACA